rfam:Ipomoea nil DNA, scaffold: scaffold1038, cultivar: Tokyo-kokei standard.
CUGACCUUAGCUCAGUUGGUAGAGUGGUGGACUGUAGUUGGACUAAUCUAAAUUGGAAAUCCUUAGGUCGCUGGUUUGAUUCCGGACAGGUUGGA